GUUAAACAGUACGUGUGCCAAUGACUGUUUGUUUCUUUUAGUGAGUGUAUAUCAGUGAAUGCAUCUGUAAGAAAGUGUCUGUCAGUCAAAGUGCGGCCUUAACAGGAAGCACAAAUCCAAAAUACACUACUGGUUGUACUGGCGUCUGGCAGCUAAAGCACCACCAGGAGCUGAAAAAGAUGGAAGGGCAUGGCAGUGACUGCAAGGGACAUGUUAGGGUAAGUAUAACUCUUUCCCCUGCAUCCCCAAGCUACCGGACAACCAGCGGCAAUGUCACCGUCCAGGUUCUUUGCAAAUUAUGCAAAGACUACAGACCGGGACAAAGCCAUUUUACAUAUCGAUGUUAAACCCAUGAUUUUUACAUGCUUAAUUGGUAGCAUGUGGAAGUGUGCAAAAUGAUCGGUAUUUUGAUGGCAUAUUAUUAUUGUGGUUUAUAAAGAGAUAAUAUAUUGUGGAGCACGGUGUCAGAAAACAUAUUCCUUAGUACUCUGACUAGCUGGAUCCAACCAUUCUGUUGUCGAAGCCUUGCUGCUAUUCCUUGAGGCGCUUCCUGAGCCAGUGAUCUGUUACCAAUCUUAUGACCAAUGCCUGGAGUGUGCUGGAGAUUAUCCCAACAGCAAAGAGGUAAGCGGGCAUUCUCAAUUAUUUGACUAUGAAAACUAAAAAAAUCUAUUCUUAUUAUUCACUAAACUUCAGUGAAAUACAUUUCAAUAACCCUUUAUAUCUUCUAAAACUGGCAAAACAAAACGUCUGUGUAGACUUUGUAUCGCAAAGUUGUAUUUCCACACAGUCCUCAGAAUUCACUGUUGAGUAAAUCACCUGAAACAGUGAGAAUGAGUCCAUUUUAUUUUUGGUCAUGUGAAAACCUGGUGUCUAGAAAGAUUGUACUGUGAUUAUAUAUGAGGGCCCAUGGUUUAAUAAGUAAACUCAAAUGAGAAUCCAAAUCUCAUCUGUCAUAAACUUGUAAAAAGUCAAUAAACAGAACUCCAGUAAUUCAUAUUGUGUAUUUUAUCUGAUAUAAAUGGACUAUGCAUUUCUUUUACACUAUAAUCAAUUGCAGCUCUCUGGAAUGUAUUAAAGCAGGGGUAAGCAACAUUUUGGUAGCGCUGUACCAAAGUAAAGUCCCUUCGUCGAGCCGGUCCUAUUUUAUUUGUUAAAAAUGUGAGGAAUUCAGCUUGUGUUAUGUAUGGGUGUGGCAGAUCAUUUUGCGUUGUAUGUUUGCGAAAUAUAUGUAUUGUGUGUGUGUGUGUUAUGUACAGUGGCAAGAAAGUUAUAUGAACCCUUUAGAAGGUAUUGCAUUUAUGUAUAAAUGGUUCUUAAAAUCGUGUUUGAUGUUCAUGUAAGUUAAAGUAAUUCUUGUGUGUAUUGAAUAUAUCAUUCGGAGUUUCACAAUGUAGGUUGGAAAAAGUAUGGCUAAUGACUUGAAAGCUAAAUAGAUUUCAAAAUUGACAAACCUGGUGUUGAAUUAAUGAAAUGAGAUUGGAGGUGUGGGCCGUUCAGCCCAGAUGACUGAAAAUGCAUACAACACAAUUCUCAUUGAGAUGAAACGGAAACAUAGAGUGACAGCUAAAGAUUUAAAGAAAUUGUUGGAAUUGGUUAACAUCACUGUUAAUGAAUCUACAAUAUGAAGAACAUUGAACAGGCAAGCGUUUCAAAAAAAACACCAUUGCCUUUUGAAUAAAGGAAGUUUGUGCAGGUUUAAUCCUCCAAUACCAAAAGUGUUUGGUUGAGGUUACUAUUGCCAAUGGAUGAUCUAUUCUCUGUCAAAUUGAAGUGUUUAUUUGCUUUUUUUCUCAGCACUGUGAUUGUUUAAUGGGAUGUGUUCAAUAAAACAUGAAUGAUUAUAAUUGUUUGUGUUUUGUUGGCUUGAGGAAAUGUUUGUUUAUACUUGUGACUUUGAUGAAAAUAAAAUGUUAUGACCAAUCCAUACAGAAAACAAACUAAUUCCAGAGGGUUCAUAUACUUUGUUGUGCCACUGUGUGUGGGAUGACUGUGGUGUUAUGUGAGUGAAUAUAUGGGCUGUGUGUAGUGUUGCACAUAGCAUUCUCCUUUGUGGUAGGGAGUGUGUAAACUGCUUGUUAUGCACAGGAGUGUUUUGCUUGUGUUAUUCAUGAAUGUUUGGCUGUCUUUGGUAUUUAUGAAUGUGUAUGUGGGCUGUUCAUUGCAUUUGUUUUUCUGUGUGUGGGGGCUGCCUGAUGAUUGUGUAUAUUUUGUGUGUGUAUAUGUGAGUUGUUUGCAGUAUUUGUGUGUAGUGGGGACUGUCUGUGAUGUUGCGUGUGUAUGUAGGUUGGUUUUUUUAACAGUGUGUGUACUUUCUGAGGUUUUGUGUGUGCUGUCUGUGAUGUUAAGUGAGUGUAUGUGGGUUAGUUGUAAUAUUUUUGUAUGAUGUGGGCUGUCUGUAAUAUUAUAUUUGUAUGUGGCUUGCCUGUUGUGUUAUGAAUGUGUGGGGCUGUGUGUGUAUGAUGGGUGUAUGUGGGUUGCUUAUAGUAUGUGGGGGGUGGAUAUAUCUGGUGUUGUCCACUAAACAAGGAUUGGCCAUCAGAAUUUGGCUUCUUUUAAUUUUUAUUGUUUAGGGUUGGAAGAUCAUGUCAGCAAUGAUUACUUCAACCAAAAAUGUUUUUUGGUUGGAAUUGUUAACCCUUUAAGUAAAGCAGGGGUAGGCAAUCUUCUGCAUUACAGAUGCGGACUACACCUCCUCCGAUGCUUAGCAGCAUUAUAGCUGUAUGAGAAUUAUGGGAGAUGUAGUUCACAACAUCUGUCAUGUCAAAGGUUGCCUAUACCUGGAUUAGAGUGAUAAAAAUGUGAAAAUACCAUAGUAUAUAUUAAAUCUGAGAAACAUUCUGUCAGGUCUUAUUAUUAAGAUUGUUAUUAUUCACGAGGAUUUUUGUGUGUGUAUUAUCUGUGCUACUGUUGAUACAAUUAAUUUAUAUAAUUAUCCAUGGUAAGCACACAUUACAUUACAGCAUGUUGAAGUGGUUAUGAUGCCAGAGAUGCCCAGAUCGGCCGCUAGGCCCCGCCCCCCCCCCUCCUCCCGGCACCAUUUUAGCACUGCUGGGCUACUGCUUCACAUCCACUGCACCCGGUCAUAGCCAACAAGGGACUGUGACUGUGCUCCUCGGCUGAGAGUGUUUAGCUCAUAUUCUCAGCCAAUGAGUGUGGUCCUGCUUUGCUCUAAAGAGCAAUCCAGAUUAUGCGUGGAGUGUUCCUUUAAUUUUGUGAUUUAUCACCAUCUAAAAAACACAAAAUCCACAAUAAUAGAUAAUUUCCAUGAAUAAACUCUAAAUAACCAUUGUCUGCAACCCUCCCCUAUUUAUGAUCAAAAGCUUGCCAAGACUUUCAGAAUUAAAUGGGAUUUGUCCAAGUGUUUUAUGAAGGGGUUAACUACAGAUAUUUUCCUUUUAACUAAACCAACAAUGCUAUCAGGAUCUCUUGAUUUCAUCACUACUGAUAUCCUCAUCAUGUGCUCUGUUCUGCAAUAUCUGAUCAUUUCAAAUUAUGUUAAUUUCAAUUUUAGCCUUAAAGAAAAUCACCAACAAAAUAGCAAUACCCACGACAAAUUCAAUUUUAUGAAUUUCACAAGUCACUGAAUAUUCUUUCAUUUUAUGUUCUGUAUUAAAAAGGAUUCAGGGCAAAGUUCUAAAAGCCCACUGUUAGAUUCAUAUACAAUUCUUUGUAUGCAACUCCUAUGAAUUUUGCUUUCUUUCCACAAUUUGUCAUUUUAUGGUGUGCAUUUAAGCGUUUGCUUCUAUACUGAUGAAAUACUGCAUACAAUUGGUAACAAUAAAUUGACCACAUUAACAUAUUUUUCUUGUUUUGCAGGUGAUUUCAUCUUUACCUUUCCAUCACAAAAAUGUAUUUAAUUAUUUGACCUCAUUUCUACGGGAGCUGCUGAGUAAUUCCACACGGAACCACUUGGAUAUUAACAUUUUGGGUAAAUAAAAAAAAUGUUCAUCUCCCAUUGUAACUAUACAUAUUUAUUUUAUUAUUAGAUGUUCCACAGUGUGCACUAGCACCUUUUGGUUAUUAUUAUUAUUUAUAAUUUGUAUAGGUGUGGUGGUUACCUUCAUUGGUGUUGUGUAGCUGCACCAUAGUGUUCAUAUUACACUGCUUCUUAUUUAAAAAUAUUUUCAGUGCAUCUGUUAAUUUGUUUAAAAUUGUCUUGUCAGUUAUACUCAUUGAAAAGUACAUAGCAUGUCUUUAAUUUGGAUAGUGUGAACAAAGUUAGGUUGUUUUUUCUGUAAAAUUCUACUUGAUCUAUGCAUUAUUAUUUUUUUUAAAUGUAUAAAAUGUUAUUUAGUGUUUGGGGGAGGAAGGUUUUUAUGGUUUUUUUUUUUUUUUAAUGGAUGAUAAUUUAGUAUGAAGUGGAUGCUCUGGACAAUUGCCUGCCUCUUGAGUUUAUUUUCGCUGAGCUAAACAACCAGACCAGGAAUUAACAGGACAGCCAGAAUGGGAGGGUUUGGUGGUGUAAUAAGGUUAAUUUAUAAAAGUGUCCGUUUCUGUUGAAAGCUGCACCUUUUUUUGUUGUUGUUGUUGUUUGUUUUUGUAGAGUGACAAAAAAAACAAACUUCUUAACACCCAAAGCACUUAAGCAAGCUUUAAAGGGACACUAUAGUCACCAGUGCAACUACAUGUAUUCUUGACCAUAUAGUGUUAACACCACCAUCUAGCCCCCCUGGGCCCCUCUUGCCUCCAUAAAUAGAGUAAAAGUCUUACUGUAUUCAAGCCAGAAGCUGUAACUCUGCAUGCUGUUUGCCUAAAAAAAAAAAAAAAAAAAAAGUCUGCUGACAUCAUCAGAAGUAGUAGCCUGAUCCAAUCACAGUGCUUCCCCAUAGGAUUGGCUGAGACUGACAAGGAGGCAGAUCAGGGGCAGAGCCAGAAUGAGUCAAACACAGCCCUGGCCAAUCAGCAUAUCCUCAUAGAGAUGAAUUGAAUCAAUGAAUCUCUAUGAGUAAAGUUCAGUGUCUGCAUGCAGUGGGAGGAGAUACUGAAUCACAGGAUGCUCGUGCACAGCAGAUCUGAGUGGAUGGAGGCAUACCAAAGUCCCUCUGGUUCACUGUGACUGCAACUGGAGGUGUUAUUAGCUUUCAAUGUAAACACUGUAUUUUCUCAGAAAAUACAGUGUUUACAUGAGAAAGGCUGCAGGGAGCUAUAGUUCUCACCUGAACAACCUCAGUAAGCUGAAGUUGUUCAGGUGACUAUAGUGUCCCUUUUGGGGUCUGAAGUGUCCGUUUAAGCUUUAUUGGGAUAGACUUUAAAGGGACACUUCAGACCCCCAAAACACUUCAGCUUGAUUUUUUUUUUUUUUAGAAGUAGCUAUUGGCACUUUUAUAAACUUACCUUGUUACACCGACCUUGCUGUCAAUCAAACAACCAGUCCUGUUACUUCCUGGUUUGGUUAGCUCAAUGGAGCUAAAAUUAAGAGGAAUACAAUUGCUACAAGCACUUGUCUUGCAAAGAUUUCUCACUGGGCUGCUAGGAAGUCUGUGAUUGAACAGCUACAGAAAGUCUGUGGUGGGGAAGAAGGGCGGUGGGGCGUGCAAAGGCCUCAGGAAAGAGAUCAACAGUUUUUGCAAGCUGUUUUUAGAAAUACCUUUUAAUGGGGAAAAAGAAGCAUAAUUAAAUGUAUGCAUGUUUGUUUUUUUUAUUUGUUGCAUACCUUCUAAACCGUGAUUUUUAUAUUUGAAAUUGGGCAAUGGAGUGUUCCUUUUAAUGUUUCCAUGUAUGUGCCCCUCCCUCCCUACUUAUUAUAACCCUGAUCAGCAUCUUUAUAGCAGAAACAAAAAUACCUAUUCAUAAAUUGGAUGUUUAAAGACUGACUAAUGUGGUUAUGGUGUCUGGUGUCCAUGGGCAAAGGGUUCCGCAACACUGCUGAUUUACUCACUGUUUAGAAAUAAUUGGUUCCCUGCAGCUUAGCCUCCUGUUACGAUAUUGCGGAGGUGCAGUUAUGGCUACCACCUUGCACCAUACCAAUCCAUACCAGGGAUUGGGACAGUGAUUAGCUGAGAGUACUCAGCAGAAGCUCUCAGCUCAUUACUGCCUGGACCUCUGGUAUGGCAUGAAGCAAAGCAUAGCUUUGCCUCUGCAAUUUCAUCAGAGGAUGGGCUGGCCGCUGCUGUGGGCCGAGCUUCUCUGCUAAGCUGUGAGUAUACCAUUUAGCAGUGAUGUGCCCAUGGAUCUAAAGCACCAUAACCACUUAAAUAAAUGGAAGUGAUUGUAAUGCCUACAGUGUCUCUUUAAAAAGAAAACAAAAAGUAAAUAUUUUAUGUCUUGAGACUGUUGAAGAAUAGUGUUGCAUGAAUGAGUGUGUGUGUGUGUGUGUGUGUGUAUAUAUGUACGAGUCCUGUAAGUGAUCUCCAUGGAGGUAUGAAUAUAUAGAUAUACAUACACGUGUGUUUAUAUAUCAUCUGAGGUGGUAAGACAUAGCCUUACAUAUUACAUGUGACAAUACAUGGCGCAAUGACUUAUGGGGCUGGCAUAGAUUUUUUUUUCCAGGGCUGCUUUGUAUCCCCAGUAAAAUCGUUUUACAUAUCAGGACAUAUCCACAAUCACCUGUACUGUAGCAGGUCUUAAAAUUGGGUAACUGCAACCUCAGAUGAACAACUACACAUGGCAUAUUACUUGUCCAGGGCCGGACUGGGGAUACAAAGCAGCCCUGGAAAAAAAUCUAUGCCAGCCCCAUAAGUCAUUGCGCCAUGUAUUGUCACAUGUAAUAUGUAAGGCUAUGUCUUACCACCUCAGAUGAUAUAUAAACACACGUGUAUGUAUAUCUAUAUAUUCAUACCUCCAUGGAGAUCACUUACAGGACUCGUAAUAGUGGUAAGAUGCUUUUAUUCAGCAAAUAUUCAUAAACAAAUAAUGUUGACGUUCCAGUCCAACUGGACUUUUCUCAAGACCUGGCUCACUGACAGACAAUCUCACUGACACGCACAGACAAGCUUAUUGGUAUACACGCACAAACUUACUACAGACAAGCUCACUGACACACACGAUCCAUACAGAAAAGCUCACUGACACAAACAAGCUCACUAAGGAAAAACUCAUUGACACACAGAUGCUCACCACAGACAAACUCACUGACACACACACACGCGCUUACUACAGACAAGCUAACUGACACACAGCCUCACUACACACAUGCUCCCUACAGAAAAGCUCACUGGAUACACACAUGUUCUCUACCAAAAAAGCUCACUGACACACAUGCUCACCACAGACAAGCUCAUUGACACACACAUGCUCCCUACAGAAAAGCUCACUCGCACAUGCUUACUGCAGAUAAGCUCACUGACGCGCACACACACAUGCUCACUACAGAUAAGCUCACUCACACACAUACAAGCUCACUCAUUAGCAGACACAUGCGCGCGCGCACACACACACACACAAACAAGCUCACACCCCCUAUCACUGUAAUGGCUGAAGCUUACCUGCCACUGGUAGGUGAAGUUGCCAUUUUGUGGCCUCUUCCAGCGAGGUGUGGGGCGGAGCUUGUGUGUGGUAGGCAGAACUUCCGUACAGAAGGUGGGAGUUAUAUGCCGGGGCGGGGCAUGCUGCUGAAAUUUAUGUAAACUGACCAGUCUCCCUCCGGCUGCCAGCAGCCUAAUUGUGGCCUCACCAGCCUCAGCUCCUCCCUCUUUACUCCCCUCGGACUGACACAGGCUGGCACAGUCUGAGGGACAAAAAUUUUAAAUGACAUUAGCCUCAUGAUUUGGGCUGUCUACCAGGCCCGAGGUGCCGCUGCCUACCGGGAGAUUUCCAGGUAUCCCGGUGGGCCAGUCCGGUCCUGACCGUGUCAUGAUUUAUUUAACAAAAUUAAGCCAAAAUGUAGAAGUCCUGAUCUGUAAAACUAAAGAAUUCAAACAAUGUGUACUUUAUUUUUCCCAUGACUGUAAUAUAUAAAUUUAUAUAAAAUUGUAAAUAAGGAUAACCUAAUACCUAAUUAGCGUAUACCACUUUAUUAUAAUGCUAGAUGUCUUUUUUUUACUCCUAGCAAGUAUAUUUGGAAAUCUACUUCUUCGACCCCCACCUACCCAUACACAACCCAGCAACACGGACAAGAGGAAGUGUCAGGAAUUCAUUCAGCAGUUCCUCCUGCAUGGGCAAAGUACAUGAUCUUGGGUUUUUAUGUAUCGAGUCAUUUUCAGGACUCCAAACAAAGUUUUUUUCCCCACUACAGAAGAAAGUGUCUGCCAGGUCUAUGUCUGUAAUUUGACAUGUGACCUGAAAUAAGCACAAGAACAGUGUCUGUCUUUUGAACUUAGUGCAUAGCCAUUGAUUAGAUUCUGUACUGUAAAUUCACAUGCAAUACAUAGUUUACUCAAUAAACCACUGUUUAUAGUUAAAGUAACCCUUGCUGGCAUGGUCCCAUAAAAAAAAAAAAUAGAGAAAGAAAUAAAAGUGUAACUUACCUGCGAUCCCACGCUGGGCCACUUUUUCCAUGUAGCUUGCUCCACUUUUGGUGAUGUCACUCUCGCUUACUGCAGAAGAGGGAUGUCCACAAGGAUGGGUUAAGGAGAUGACUUGAAUGCGCAGAGGGCCAUGUCACCAGUGGACAUCUGUGCUAGCAUAUUAUGCAUGCUAACGGCAGAUGCCCAAUAUGAACAGAAUUAACAUUAGCCAACCCAGAACUCGUGUCAGGCUGGCUAAUGAAGUUAUACCUCUUGCAGCAAAGUCCUUUCACUCUGUAUGUACAGUGUUCUACUGAGAAAUGCUGCACAUGAAGACUCAAAGCACCAUGACCAUUUAAAAUCUCUAAAGAAGUCAUGGUGCUUGGAGCAACCAUAAUAAUAUUGGCCUCUUUGGUCUAACCCACUUAUCAUGAGAUAAAGAUACAGCUAAUCACCUGUUUCUUUAACAUGCUAUGUGCUUGCAUUGUUCUUGGAUAUGUGCAUUUUGAAAUUUAAUGAGCUGUCAAGAUUAAUAAGCUGCUAAUGGUUUAUUAGUGUAUUAAUUGUUGAACUUGGAGAAGUGUUUGUAUUCUUGUGAUGUGCAGUAGAUGUACAACACUGUGCCCCAUUUUGGAAAAUCAUAGUUUGAAUUUGCGGCACUUAAUGAUAUGGUAAUCCUUUAAAUAACCCCAAGCAAAUGUAAAAUGUAUUUUGUUUUCUUCCGUAAAAUUAAUAAUUUAUUUGGGGGACCAGUGCCAGCAAUGUUAUUUAUACAAUAUUAAAAAAAUUAUCCAUCACAAUAUUUGGAUUGCAGAAGGCUCAUAGGAAGUAGUAAUCUUUUUAGUGGUCAAAUACAGUUUUUAUUUUUUAUUUUAUUUUUAAAGCAACUCUAUGUAAUCGGGUAAGACAUUUAUUUUAUCAUGUGGUCAAAGACCAUCUGCUGGUUAUUAAAGUCCAAUUAAAAUCUGAAUCACAGUAUUUUGAUCAUUCAGCAAUUACCAGAAUAGUUAUUAUCUGUGGGCAUUUCAGUACAUUCUACAUAUCAUGUGGACAAGACUGAAUUAGUUCUAUAGUUACCCUAAAGUUACCUUAAAGUAGCACUGUCAAUUGAAAUGUUCUACUUAUACAGCACUUUAAAAACAAUUUAUAUCUUGUGCAGACCAUUCUGCAUAGUAGUUUUCUUAAUAAAUAUUUAAGAAACAGUUUCACAUUAACCUUUGCUAUUAUUAGUUACAUUGUGGGCACUUCUCUUAAUUGAAGUUCAAACACCAUAUUCCACUUCCUUUCCUGCUAAUAGCUACUUGGUAAAUCUGAUUCUGGUUGGCUGCUGACAUCACAAGCUCUAUGCAGAUGUUCUCCAAUGUAAGAUGCUAUUCUAGGAUAGCCAACUCAACACUGACAACUGGCAGGUCUGGGAAUUACACCUAAAUUUAUAAGAGGACUGGCACUUCCCCGAAUUUUAACAUAUCCACUCCAGUUAAUAAUGAUGUAUUUGUGAGUUCUGAAAAUGAAAUUAAAUGUAGGAAUCCCCACACCUCUUUAUCUUUAACUAGGUACCUCCAUCUUGACUCAGUCGGUGUAAAGAAAGCAUACAGACAAGAAACAAUGUUUGUAUUUCUCAUCCUCCAGUGUGUCUAGAUACAACUGGAGUAUGAUGUGAUUUUCCAAAUAUUUAGUAUAAAUAUGGAUAAAAAUCACGUUAACCCUCUUUUUUUUUUUUUUUUUACAUUUUAAAUGUUUUGUUUAAUUGUGUAACUUCCAGAGAAGUAGUAAUUCCAUGUUAAAACCACGAUUUCGGUAAAAAUAUUAGAGAUAUUUUUUCCAAUUGAUUAAAGUACAUUUUAGUGACAGUGCCACUUUAAAAUCUACACCACAGACCUACUUGAUUGAUACUGGCGGUAAGGAAGUGCUUUGAUGAGCCAGUAACCUCUUACAUUUAAAGUAAAUACUAUUUUUAUGCAUAUAUAGUAUAUAUUUUUCAGUUGUAAACAUUGUUAAUGUAAAAUUCUUUGUACAAAGUGUUUUAGAUAUUUCCAGACAAUUGUAUUUUUUAUUGUGAAUAUAGAUUUUAUAAAUGCUUUAUCGACCACUCAGUCUAGUUUUAACUACUGUACAAUUAUAUUUCUAUCUUUGAGUAAGUGGAUUUACAUUUUUUUUGUAUGAAGAUUUU
rnacentral:lncRNA from 1 species